CGUGAACCUUUACUAUAGCUUGACACUGAACAUUGAGCCUUGAUGUGUAGGAUAGGUGGGAGGCUUUGAAGUGUGGACGCCAGUCUGCAUGGAGCCGACCUUGAAAUACCACCCUUUAAUGUUUGAUGUUCUAACGUGGACCCGUGAUCCGGGUUGCGGACAGUGUCUGGUGGGUAGUUUGACUGGGGCGGUCUCCUCCUAAAGAGUAACGGAGGAGCACGAAGGUUGGCUAAUCCUGGUCGGACAUCAGGAGGUUAGUGCAAUGGCAUAAGCCAGCUUGACUGCGAGCGUGACGGCGCGAGCAGGUGCGAAAGCAGGUCAUAGUGAUCCGGUGGUUCUGAAUGGAAGGGCCAUCGCUCAACGGAUAAAAGGUACUCCGGGGAUAACAGGCUGAUACCGCCCAAGAGUUCAUAUCGACGGCGGUGUUUGGCACCUCGAUGUCGGCUCAUCACAUCCUGGGGCUGAAGUAGGUCCCAAGGGUAUGGCUGUUCGCCAUUUAAAGUGGUACGCGAGCUGGGUUUAGAACGUCGUGAGACAGUUCGGUCCCUAUCUGCCGUGGGCGCUGGAGAACUGAGGGGGGCUGCUCCUAGUACGAGAGGACCGGAGUGGACGCAUCACUGGUGUUCGGGUUGUCAUGCCAAUGGCACUGCCCGGUAGCUAAAUGCGGAAGAGAUAAGUGCUGAAAGCAUCUAAGCACGAAACUUGCCCCGAGAUGAGUUCUCCCUGACCCUUUAAGGGUCCUGAAGGAACGUUGAAGACGACGACGUUGAUAGGCCGGGUGUGUAAGCGCAGCGAUGCGUUGAGCUAACCGGUACUAAUGAACCGUGAGGCUUAACCUU
rnacentral:rRNA from 1 species